CCUACGGGUGGCAGCAGUGGGGAAUAUUGGGCAAUGGACGCAAGUCUGACCCAGCAACGCCGCGUGAAGGAAGAAGGCUUUCGGGUUGUAAACUUCUUUUAAGGGGGAAGAGCAGAAGACGGUACCUGACGAAUAAGCCACGGCUAACUACAUGCCAGCAGCCGCGGUAAUACGUAGGUGGCAAGCGUUGUCCGGAUUUACUGGGUGUAAAGGGCGUGUAGCCGGGUUGACAAGUCAGAUGUGAAAUCCUGCGGCUUAACCGCAGAACUGCAUUUGAAACUGUUGAUCUUGAGUACUGGAGAGGCAGAUGGAAUUCCUAGUGUAGCGGUGAAAUGCGUAGAUAUUAGGAGGAACACCAGUGGCGAAGGCGGUCUGCUGGACAGCAACUGACGGUGAGGCGCGAAAGCGUGGGGAGCAAACAGGAUUAGAUACCCGUGUAGUC
rnacentral:rRNA from 1 species